CCCUAUGGGGUGCAGCAGGCGAGAAACCUUUGCAAUGUGCGCAAGCACGACAAGGUUAAUCCGAGUGUUUCCUGCUAAAGGAAUCUUUUGUUAGUUGUAAAACCACUGAUGAAUAAGGGGUGGGCAAGUUCUGGUGUCAGCCGCCGCGGUAAAACCAGCACCUCAAGUGGUCAGGAUGAUUAUUGGGCCUAAAGCAUCCGUAGCCUGUUCUGUAAGUUUCCGGUUAAAUCCAUUAGCUCAACUAAUGGGCUGCCGAAAAUACUGCAAAACUAGGGAGUGGGAGAGGUAGACGGUACUCGGUAGGAAGGGGUAAAAUCCUUUGAUCUAUUGAUGACCACCUGUGGCGAAGGCGGUCUACCAGAACACGUUCGACGGUGAGGGAUGAAAGCUGGGGGAGCAAACCGGAUUAGAUACCCGGGUAGUCCCAGCUGUAAACGAUGCAGACUCGGUGAUGCCCUGGCUUGUGGCCAGUGCAGUGCCGCAGGGAAGCCGUUAAGUUUGCCGCCUGGGAAGUACGUACGCAAGUAUGAAACUUAAAGGAAUUGGCGGGGGAGCACCACAAGGGGUGAAGCCUGCGGUUCAAUUGGAGUCAACGCCAGAAAUCUUACCCGAAGAGACAGCAGAAUGAAGGUCAAGCUGGAGACUUUACCAGACAAGCUGAGAAGAAGUGCAUGGCC
rnacentral:rRNA from 1 species